rnacentral:lncRNA from 1 species
CUAAAAGCAUAUAUUUUAUCAUAAAUAUUUUUAAAAGGCGAGCAUUAACUGGUUUUUUUUAUUGCAAAACCAUAAUUAACAAUCAAUUAUUAUUACACUUAUCUUCCAAAUAGGGAAGUGAUUGAAACUAAAUUACCAUGAUCUCUGCUAGAGGAAGUUAUGCUUUCAAUUAAAAAUAAGAAGAGUGCAAUUGUAAUUGAAAUGAAACUCAAGGAUGAUUUGUCGGUGCAUUUUAUUGAACUCAUCCUUAUAUUCAUAGGGGACAUAUAAGAAAAUCCCUAUGUUAAAUAGAAAACGAAGGAAGGGAGAGAAAGAUGGUAAUAAUAUUGAGGUCUGAGUCGGAGUCUCAGGUGGGGGUUUGGGGAGUGACAUUUAGAUCCAAACUCAAGUCGUCUUCUUCCUUCUCAUUCUGAUUACUCAUUCUGGUUGCCUCCUUCACAUCCUGCAUGAUAUCUUUCUCCAACGCUGCCACGUCCUCGCCGUGGCUCUUGAAGUACUUCACCGCCGUGUUUAUUCGGCGGAGAAUGGCGCAGAACUCCUCCACCUCCUCAUCCGUCACAGCCUCAUCCUCACGCGCCUUCUUCUGCUGCUGGCUCCCCGAAACGGCGUCGUCUUCGCCUUGCUUCCUCUUGUCCUUGGCGCCAGACAUGUCACCGCUGCUUUCUCGUAACGUAAAAUUGUUCUUUGCUUGCGAUUGGUGGUCGUGGCCGGGUCCGCUGUUUUAAAGAAUGCUAAGGCAGUAAUAUCGUCCCUUGCCGUCAAUGAUGCCUUUCUCACACCCAAUAGAUGGGAUACACGUGCUCUUUUGUUAUGCUGUCUGUUGGUUGGCUCAGAAUUUUUUCAUUUUAUAAUAAAAUAAUUACU